rnacentral:rRNA from 1 species
GACGAACGCUGGCGGCGUGCUUAACACAUGCAAGUCGAACGGAAAGGCCCUGCUUUUGUGGGGUGCUCGAGUGGCGAACGGGUGAGUAACACGUGAGUAACCUGCCCUUGACUUAGGGAUAACUUCAGGAAACUGGGGCUAAUACCGGAUAGGAGCUCCUGCUGCACGGUGGGGGUUGGAAAGGUUCGGCGGUUGGGGAUGGACUCGCGGCUCAUCAGCUUGUUGGUGAGGUAGUGGCUUACCAAGGCUUUGACGGGUAGCCGGCCUGGGAGGGUGACCGGCCACAUUGGGACUGAGAUACGGCCCAGACUCCUACGUGAGGCAGCAGUGGGGAAUAUUGCACAAUGGGCGGAAGCCUGAUGCAGCAACGCCGCGUGUGGGAUGACGGCCUUCGGGUUGUAAACCGCUUUCGCCUGUGACGAAGCGUGAGUGACGGUAAUGGGUAAAAAAGCACCGGCUAACUACGUG